AGCGAACGCUGGCGGCAGGCUUAACACAUGCAAGUCGAACGGUCCUUCGGGAUAGUGGCGGACGGGUGAGUAACACGUGGGAACGUACCCUUAGGUUCGGAACAGCACAGGGAAACUUGUGCUAAUACCGGAUAGCCCUUCGGGGGAAAGAUUUAUCGCCUUUGGAGCGGCCCGCGUCUGAUUAGCUUGUUGGUGAGGUAAUGGCUCACCAAGGCUACGAUCAGUAGCUGGUCUGAGAGGAUGGCCAGCCACACUGGGACUGAGACACGGCCCAGACUCCUACGGGAGGCAGCAGUGGGGAAUCUUGCGCAAUGGGCGAAAGCCUGACGCAGCCAUGCCGCGUGGAUGAUGAAGGUCUUAGGAUUGUAAAAUCCUUUCACCGGGGACGAUAAUGACGGUACCCGGAGAAGAAGCCCCGGCUAACUUCGUGCCAGCCGCCGCAGUAA
rnacentral:rRNA from 1 species